UUUGGCAUUGUAAUUUAUUUUUAAAAAAAUAUAUAAUGAUGACGUGUAAAUGAAUAUAAUUAGGGUUGGAUUAAAGAAUGAGUUAGGGGUAAUUUUUGGUCAGAUACAAAUUUGGGUAAAAUCUACGUAAAAUCUACGAAUUGGAAAUUUAUGGGCAAUUGUAAUUAGGGUUCAUCAAACACCUUCAAACAUCAUGAACACCAAACACGACAAAUAAAAUCUGCGAAUUGAAAAUUUCUGGGCAAUUGCAAUUAGGGUUCAUCACAGUCCGUUCCUGCAUCAAGUCAAAAACUAGUUGAGCCUGUGCCUUCUACUCAUCCUGUGAUCUCGAUACAUGUAUUCUACAGAUUUUUAAAGCUGCAAUGUCGCACCCAUCGCUAGUAGUGUAAUACCAAUCAAAUCAACAGAAAAUAAUAAAACAAAAAAAAUGAAUUGGUCAAUUUAGCUCUCUUCAACGAGAUAAUGUAGGUUGAAGAAUAAUCAGAACGUGCCCAAUA
rnacentral:lncRNA from 1 species